UUAAUCAUCAAGGAUGCGUCUUGCUAAUAAGGAUACAUAUUUACUGUAACUCUGCCUGGGACUGUUCUUUGAGAGAGAUCAUGGAGACUAUGAUCAACACCCCAAGAUGGAGUCUACAUUCUUAGAAACAAAGAAAGAUGAGGCUUGCAAGAUGCCAUGAGACAUGUUACAGGUACCCAGUUGGAAGAGACACAAUUUCUAAUGUCUACUUCAUGGGGAAAAAGGAAG